AGAAUCAACGCUGGCGGCGUGCCUAACACAUGCAAGUCGAACGAGAAAGUGGAGCAAUCCAUGAGUAAAGUGGCGCACGGGUGAGUAACACGUGACUAACCUACCCUUGAGUGGGGAAUAACUUCGGGAAACCGAGGCUAAUACCGCAUAACACCUACGGGUCAAAGGAGCAAUUCGCUUAAGGAGGGGGUCGCGGCAGAUUAGUUAGUUGGCGGGGUAAUGGCCCACCAAGACGGUGAUCUGUAUCCGGCCUGAGAGGGCGCACGGACACACUGGAACUGAAACACGGUCCAGACUCCUACGGGAGGCAGCAGUGGGGAAUUUUGCGCAAUGGGGGGAAACCCUGACGCAGCAACGCCGCGUGGAGGAUGAAGUCCCUUGGGACGUAAACUCCUUUCGAUCGGGACGAUUAUGACGGUACCGGAAGAAGAAGCCCCGGCUAACUUCGCGCCAGCAGCCGC
rnacentral:rRNA from 1 species